GGAACAUUCUGCCAUCCAGGCAGAAGGCAUCACCUCACCCUGGAAAGGGGUUAUUUCCACCCUGCGUCUCACCCUGAGCUUGCCGGCUCCUGCAAAGCCUUUUGCUGUUUUGCCUUUUCCCAGCUACUCCAAACAUCAACGCUCGGGAUAUUGGGAUGAAAGCUAAAGCCAUCAGGGGGCUCUCUGGGAACGCUCCAGACAAGCUUUGAGUUAAACAGGGCUUGCUCAGAAAAUAAACACAGCUCCCAGCCAUGCAAAGCACGACAGUUCAGGCUCUGCCUAAUAACAGCAGGCGGGGUGGUUCCUCUCCCAGCAGCAGGUUUGUACAGGAAAGUUACAUUUCCUCUAUUUAAUCUCUUCCAUUCUUACUGUUCUUUGGAUUUCUUUCCCGUCUAGAAAGGACCUGGUGACCACAGGAUGGAAAGGAAAACACAGGGAGAAAAACAGCAGCUAGAGAAUGUGCUCCCAGAGGAUCCUGCUCUCUCAGGACCAGCACGGGGAAUGCCGAGGUGUGCACAGUCCAUGGGCACCUGAGCUGGAAUGCAGGGAGAGAUGGAGGUGUCUGCAGCAUCCUGCAGCUCUGGGAGGAAGGACAGAUGUCUCCAGGCCAGUCCAGCUCCAGACAGGGCCAUCACACCCUGUCAUGGAGCAGUGCCAGUGACAAAACUCCUUGCAUCCCAUGGGGCACCCCACUGAGGACCUUCUGCCUGCAGCAAGGAGGUAACAAGACACGAGAAGAGUUCAGAAAAUUCUGGUGUUUUCUGCUGAUUACUCAUUUCCACUGAUCCAAUACUGAUCUCCUCCCUGCCUGACUUUGUAGGAUUCCUGCGCCUGCCGCGUCAUCACAACCACCCACCCGUGGAGCUGGAACUCCACGUGAGCUCCUCCUCCUCCUCCUCCUCCUCCUCCUCCUCCUCCUCCUCCUCCUUGUCGUCGUCGUCGUCGUCGUUUUCGUCGUCCUCCUCCUCCUCCUCCUCCCUGUGGGCACCCCACACACCCGGGCACCCCGGGCACCCCCUGCCCACGGCC
rnacentral:lncRNA from 1 species